rnacentral:rRNA from 1 species
AGAGUUUGAUCUUGGCUCAGAUUGAACGCUGGCGGCAUGCCUUACACAUGCAAGUCGAACGGCAGCACGGGGGCAACCCUGGUGGCGAGUGGCGAACGGGUGAGUAAUAUAUCGGAACGUACCCAGUAGUGGGGGAUAGCUCGGCGAAAGCCGGAUUAAUACCGCAUACGCACUAUGGUGGAAAGCGGGGGAUCGCAAGACCUCGCGCUAUUGGAGCGGCCGAUAUCUGAUUAGCUAGUUGGUAGGGUAAAAGCCUACCAAGGCGACGAUCAGUAGCUGGUCUGAGAGGACGACCAGCCACACUGGAACUGAGACACGGUCCAGACUCCUACGGGAGGCAGCAGUGGGGAAUUUUGGACAAUGGGGGCAACCCUGAUCCAGCAAUGCCGCGUGUGUGAAGAAGGCCUUCGGGUUGUAAAGCACUUUUGUCCGGAAAGAAAUCCCUUGGGCUAAUACCUCGGGGGGAUGACGGUACCGGAAGAAUAAGCACCGGCUAACUACGUGCCAGCAGCCGCGGUAAUACGUAGGGUGCAAGCGUUAAUCGGAAUUACUGGGCGUAAAGCGUGCGCAGGCGGUUGUGCAAGACAGAUGUGAAAUCCCCGGGCUCAACCUGGGAACUGCAUUUGUGACUGCACGGCUAGAGUGUGUCAGAGGGGGGUAGAAUUCCACGUAGCAGUGAAAUGCGUAGAGAUGUGGAGGAAUACCGAUGGCGAAGGCAGCCCCCUGGGAUAACACUGACGCUCAUGCACGAAAGCGUGGGGAGCAAACAGGAUUAGAUACCCUAGUAGUCC